CGGGCCUGGGAUUGCCUCAGUAGCGGCGAGUGAAGCGGCAAGAGCUCAGAUUUGAAAUCGUGCUUUGCGGCACGAGUUGUAGAUUGCAGGUUGGAGUCUGUGUGGAAGGCGGUGUCCAAGUCCCUUGGAACAGGGCGCCCAGGAGGGUGAGAGCCCCGUGGGAUGCCGGCGGAAGCAGUGAGGCCCUUCUGACGAGUCGAGUUGUUUGGGAAU
rnacentral:rRNA from 1 species